AAAUUUCGAUAGCUUCUUCAAACAGAAGCGGUGCAGAGGCAGCGGCGGCUUUCUCAAUCCUCAGAGCUUCUCUCUUCUCGGCCUUCAUGUCUCUUGAGUAACCAUGAUGGUUGUGGUCUCAAACUAAAGAAACGAGAAAUGAAGGAUGUUGCAACUAGUGCUUGUCGGACUAUCUUGCAAUCAAGAGCUGUUAUUGUUGGUCGUUUGCAUACGAAUUUCUGGAAAUAUAAUUCGGGCUUUGGUUUUCUGUUAAACGUUUAGGCAAAUGGGCAAAAUGACAAUUUGCGUGAUUUAGUUUUCCUGCCAGUAUGUUUUCAGGCAUGAAAACAGGGAGAAAAUAAACGGCAGCAUAGUGUUUUGUACAGAAUCUCAUGGCCAAAUCUGCUAGUCCUCCAGCGCUUGUUCCAUGUUGCAGGCAUCUUGAAGUUGAACUACAACUCUUUUGGUGUUUGCAAUUGUACUAUGCUAUAAAAAGGUAGUUACGACCAACUAGUUUCUCCUUUGAUCAGCACUAAAAAGGGCUCAAAAAUAGAUGCAAAUUUUCUUUUAAAGAUCAAAAUGGUAUUGAAAUGGAAUUGAAUCUGCAUUUUCACAUUUGCAACAUUAUAGGCAGAGUCAUCAUGAACUUGUAUUGUUAGUGCUGCAGCUUGACUGUGCGUUUAAAAGUUCCUAAAUCAGAGAACAUUUUGGAGGCUUUUGCCAUUUGAAUCUUACGAACUCCCCAAGAAAUAAAUUCUGCAGAAGAUUCAACGUUGUGUAGAAUCAAGAAUGAGGUAAAAUUGCAUUACAAUCUCCAACAAUUGGACCAAUACUUAACUGAGACACUAUAGUACCAAGUUUGAUGUUUGCAUCUUCGUUAGAUGAACAAGUUUUCCGGUUAGCCCAUAACUGUUCCUUGAGCGGCUUCCCCUUUUAUACUCAUGAAAAUUACAUCUAUAAUUGUGGUUAUAUUAUUCAGUGGAGAGAUGCCUUGAUUUGGGUUAUAUUAUUCCUUUCAAUUGCCUUAAUAGUUGAUUUCACUUGACUGAUAGUUAAAUUGAUUAAAUGACACAAAAGUUAUACAUUAGGGCCUAAAGUACAACAUGCGUCCAAUUCUUUUUAUUUUUAUUUUUAUUUUUAUUUUUUCUAUAGUAGGAAAUGGAUGGAAUUUAACAAGUAGGGAGAAAUGGGAUUUAAAACCAAGCCCUUUAAGUAUUGAAACUUCAAUUUUAACCACUUAAUCAAGAGUUCCUCGUCCAAUAUGUGUCCAACUCUUAAGGAACGUACUGUAAUUCCGAAAUGGUUAUAAUUUUAAAAGCUUUUAGCAUUUGCAGAUUUUACACAAGAUCACUGGGCUACCAUAUUGAUCAACUAUAAUAUAUUAGUUUGUAGGGGCAUCAUGCGAUGCAUGAUGUUGGCUAGAUGAAAGCUAUAAAAAAUUUUGCGCAUAUAUAAAUGGAACACAGUAUUCAUAGAUAAGUGAAGCUUGUAAAGCAAUAACAGUGUACUAAUGUACCAAAUUUGAGAGUUAGCAGGAAGUUUUGAAAACUAAAGGCGUGGAGGACAAAUAUAUUGUAGACAUCAAAAUUUUGUUAAUGUUAAUGUAUUUUUAAAUUUUUUCUAUUUAAUGAGUUAUUUAUUUUUUAAUAUUUUAAUACAAAUUUUUCUUAUAUUUGCAAGUUCGUUUUAGGAAAAAGUAAAAAAGUAAAAAAAAUAAAAAAUUAAUUUUUGUAAAAAUAAAGAGAAGUCAUCAUAAGCCACCAUGAGCCUUCAUGAUGACUCAUGAUCGCCACCACCUUUUUUACCAAAGCACACGAGAGAAAGGAGGAGGGCUUCUUAAAUUUUGCUCUGGAGCUCCUCACUCGGGGCUUUUCCCUGGAGCUCUCAACGGACAGAAGAAAAAAAAAAGGAGAAGCAAGAGAAGACGGGGAGCUCUGGCUCCCUCCCUUGGCUUAGGCUGCCAACAGAAAACAGAGAAGAAAAGAAAAAUUUCCAGCUGACUACACUACACAAAACAAGAACAAAACUCCACUCCAGAAGACUCCCUCUCGGCUCUCCUUGUUCUCUCAAGAAAAAAAAUUUUCCUUAGACAACAAGAAGCACUCUUACUCUCACCCUCGGCUCUCCUCUCUCCCAAUAUUUUCCCAACACACUUGCACACAACGAAAAGGAGGCAGCGAUCGAUUGGGCUAUUGGAGCUUGGCAAUUUCAUCAAAAACUUUGGCCAUGAGACCAAACUCUUCAUUGAGGGUUUCUUGGCGAUUAAGGCCAAUCUGAAGUGAAAACUUUUGAAGUUAAGCCGG